UGUGUUUUGUGACAUAAUUUUUAUAUAAUCUCUUUUUAAUAUUUGUCAGUGCGUUUUUUGUUUUUUUUUGUGAAUUUGGUCAAUUUUGUGUUUCAUACAGUGCAAAAUGCCAUCAAGACGCAAGGGGAUGGCACCGUCGCACAAAUAAUGAAAGAUGUAUGCGACAAAGUAGAGCUUAAAGAACAGUCGAACGAAUCGAAGAAAAUAACGGAAAUGUGCAUGGGGGCAUGGCUCAAUUGCAUGAAUCUUAAUCAGUAGAGAUACGAAAUGAACAUAGACAAUUGGAACGGAGACGUUACAUAAUUGACAAUAUCAGAAAAAAUUACCGACAAAUGGUUAGCAGAAUAACUUAAAAACUAUGGAAAAGCGACCACGGCUCGGAAUAUCGCGAUUUUCAAACAGAUGGACCGAUUUUCAUGGUAUUUGAUUUGUUGAAUUGGUCUCCAUCCAGGUUAACAGAGUAGCUUUAAAAAACUAUUGAAAAAGCGAUCACGCUCGGAAAACGUUCGUAAUGUUGAAUGAAGUUGGCCUUUCCAGGGUUGUCAAACGUUUGCUUGAUUUUUUGUAAUGAAAGUGUUACUUAAAUCAAAAAAUAAGUUCAGUCGGCUUAGAAUGUUUAUAGAGUACAGAUGAAAUAAAACAAAACAAGUAGUUUAAAAGUGCCAGUUUUUGUAACAGUUGGGAAAUUGUGUGGAAUGUGGUAAAUAAAUUUGUGAUUUGUGUGUUUUGUCCGUAAUGCAAUUAGGCUACGGAACAGUGCGAAUCAAUUAACUCAUGAAGAAUUACAAAUUGCACGAAAGGCGUUGAUUUGUCACGAAAGCUUGCGAGUAUUGCAUUGAAGUUUUCUGGAUAAACGCCUGUAAAUCAAGAUUAAAAUCCUAAGAUUAAAAAUGGUUUUCAAAUAUGAAUGAGGAAGAACGGGAAUCCGUACAGGAGAUAAUAAAACGAAGCAUCAAUGUGCGUAGCGGGAGACGUAAUGGGAGUCGAUAAACUGAAAAUGACGUAAAUGGAAUAUUGGGUAUUUUAUACUUUCCAAUUAAUGCAAAAAUUAAUUUAUAUUGAACGUGUUAUUCGACUCACGUCUGGUCCGUUAUCAGGAACUACAAGAGGUAGACCAACGGAUUUUUUUUUUGUGAAGACUCACAGUGAAUAACUGUAUCUCAAAUAAACCCCUUAAAAUCACAAGGCUUUGGCACAAUUUUGAAGGUACAAAAACCCCGAAUAGCAACUAGCUCGAUCCGGAACCUUUUUCCCGUAGAUCUCAUUGAACAUGGGUGCAAAGUUGGCUCCCUCUUAAAAUGAGAGUAACCAAACCAUAGAAAUUGCAGAGAACAGAUUCCUGUAUCCCAGAUUACUGUAUUCAUGACAUGCAAAUGUAGUCCGCAUCUGCACAGAUUACUCAAAGUUAGAUGGCGGCAUAGGUGGAGGAGUAUACUCUGAGGAGCUUAAUAACAGUCUCUGCUUCAGAAUCCCAUAUCACGGCUUUAUGGUAAUCUCUCCAAAUUCUCUAUAGACAAGCACUUGUAUGUGUAUAUAUGUAUCUUCUGGAACAGCUAAACAGUAAUUAAAACACAAGAGUUCAUGCAAAACCACCCAAUCUUUAUGCAAAAGAUUUCGCCUUAGAAGAAAAAAAUUAUUUCUUCAAAAACUUUUCUUGUGGGUUGAUACAUGGUGAAAU